GACGAACCGUGCGAACGUUGUUCGGAAUCACUGGGCUUAAAGGGCGCGUAGGCGGGCAGUCAAGUCUGGGGUGAAAUGCCGCGGCUCAACCGUGGAACUGCCUUAGAUACUGACGGCCUCGAGGAAGGUAGGGGCAUGCGGAACUGUAGGUGGAGCGGUGAAAUGCGUUGAUAUCUACAGGAACUCCGGUGGCGAAAGCGGCGUGCUGGACCUUUUCUGACGCUGAGGCGCGAAAGCUAGGGGAGCAAACGGG
rnacentral:rRNA from 1 species